rnacentral:rRNA from 1 species
GUUAGAAGGCCCUAGGAGAAAAGGAGCAAUCCACGUUCGGGACGGGGCCUCGCGUCCCAUCAGCUAGGUUGGUAAGGUAACGGCCUACCAAGGCGAAGACGGGUACGGGGCUGAGAGGGUCGGCCCCCACACUGGCACUGAAACACGGGCCAGACACCUACGGGUGGCAGCAGUAGGGAAUAUUGCACAAUGGGCGAAAGCCUGAUGCAGCAACGCCGCGUGCGCGAAGAAGGCCUUCGGGUUGUAAAGCGCUUUUCUGGAGGAAGAGGAAGGACGGUACUCCAGGAAUAAGGAUCGGCUAACUACGUG